AGUACAGCCAUGGAAGCAGCAAACAAACCAACGGCAUCAACGGAGAUAGAUUCUACCCGACCUAAAAAAAACCUUGGCAUGAUUCUAACAGUUGCAUGACCAGAGACGUUACAAAACCAGGGUGAAUAUUGGAGAUCAGAAAGAUGGAGACAGCCUCGCCGCAGCCGACAACGGAACACAACUUAAAGGUGCAGUCUGUGAGGUGACCAAUUGGAGUCAGAAAGACUCUGGCCACUGGGGCCAGAACAGGUCCAACACCUUCAUGGUGAUCCCGACGUGAUGGUCAGAACCAGAACCCGAACCUGAAGCCGAACCAGAACUUUUUGGCGGACUUCAGAAAACUCAGACUCUACUCUCCAGAACCAACGGUGCACCGAGAAAAAGGUCCAGGAGAGAGCUGAGGCACCUGCCCCAAAGAAACCCAGAGAUCCCAUCAAAGUAGGAGAGUGGGUGUGGCUACGAGUCCUAAAACGGAAGUGGAUCGAGCCCAGGUGGACCGGACCACACCAGGUUAUCAGCAACCACCUCACACUCGGUCAGGUUGGUCAAGAAAGGUACCAACUGGUAUCACCAGACAUUAUGCCCCCGAGCCUCUGAUCCACAAGGUGCAAGACCUUUGGACGAGGUAAGAGCUGAUCUGCAAUAUGUGGCAGCCUCAGAACCCAGUGAUGAGGGAAUUUCACAUCCCAAGGACUAAAUUGGUAGUGACUGUAAUAACCAUAAUAGUGCUAGGCUCAUUGGGUUACAUGUGGUGGGAGACACAGGAGGCAAAAACUGGCUCCCCUAUCACUAUAAUCUGUGCAGAAAUAGGCAAGACUACUUCAGUCUCGGUAGAUAUGUGCAGCAUAUUAGCCUGUGUAAGCCAUAACCAGUAUACUUGUCUCCAGUACCGCAAGAGGACAGCAUAUGUAUGCACUGACCCCUGUAGUUCCUGGAGCCAUGUAUUUGCAAACUUUGGUGAGGAUUGGGGUUAUAACCCACCCAAAGCUACCCAGGGUGGUCUGAAGGGCCGACUCUCAAUCACCCGCCAGCAACAUCAUGGCCACCAAUGUGCGCCAAUAAUAAUCACUCUAAGAAACGCUCAAGCCUCAGAUGAUGGGGAAUACUGGCUCGGUGUGGAGGUUAUCAAUGCUGAUCCACUGGGAAAAUUCAGGAUACAGACUUUUGUUAGACCAACACCUGCACCUACCGUCCCGGCUAAUAUAACAAUGACACCUGCCAGUGAGUAUCAUUGCAUCCCAAAACAUGGAUGAGGUUGUUAAAGAAUUCAGUACCCAUCAUCACAACUACUGGAGGAAGCGUGCUACUGCAAACAAACCCAAGUUCGACUCCAUCAACAACCCAUUUGGUUCGUAAAGAGCUAGCUGAAAACUCUGGUGUAGAGCCAAACCCUAUAACUGACUGGGUCCAUGGUAUGUUUGGCAAGUGGAAAGUUAUGAUCAUGUCCACGUUGGUCUCCAUAGCUGUGUUCACGGGCAUUCUGGUGUGCUGUGGUUUUUGUGCUAUUC